rnacentral:rRNA from 1 species
AGGAAAAGAAACCAACCGGGAUUGCCUUAGUAACGGCGAGUGAAGCGGCAAAAGCUCAAAUUUGAAAUCUGGUACCUUCGGUGCCCGAGUUGUAAUUUGGAGAGGGCAACUUUGGGGCCGUUCCUUGUCUAUGUUCCUUGGAACAGGACGUCAUAGAGGGUGAGAAUCCCGUGUGGCGAGGAGUGCGGUUCUUUGUAAAGUGCCUUCGAAGAGUCGAGUUGUUUGGGAAUGCAGCUCUAAGUGGGUGGUAAAUUCCAUCUAAAGCUAAAUAUUGGCGAGAGACCGAUAGCGAACAAGUACAGUGAUGGAAAGAUGAAAAGAACUUUGAAAAGAGAGUGAAAAAGUACGUGAAAUUGUUGAAAGGGAAGGGCAUUUGAUCAGACAUGGUGUUUUGUGCCCUCUGCUCCUUGUGGGUAGGGGAAUCUCGCAUUUCACUGGGCCAGCAUCAGUUUUGGUGGCAGGAUAAAUCCAUAGGAAUGUAGCUUGCCUCGGUAAGUAUUAUAGCCUGUGGGAAUACUGCCAGCUGGGACUGAGGACUGCGA